rnacentral:rRNA from 1 species
CGCUGGCGGCGUGCCUAAUACAUGCAAGUCGAACGGUCUUUCUAUGGAAGCUUGCUUCCACUGAGAAGAUAGUGGCGGACGGGUGAGUAACACGUGGGUAACCUGCCCAUAAGAGGGGGAUAACAUCCGGAAACGGGUGCUAAUACCGCAUAGUUUUCUUGAUCGCAUGAUCGGGAAAGGAAAGACGGCCUUUGUGCUGUCGCUUAUGGAUGGACCCGCGGCGUAUUAGUUAGUUGGUGAGGUAAUGGCUCACCAAGACGAUGAUACGUAGCCGACCUGAGAGGGUGAUCGGCCACAUUGGGACUGAGACACGGCCCAAACUCCUACGGGAGGCAGCAGUAGGGAAUCUUCCGCAAUGGACGAAAGUCUGACGGAGCAACGCCGCGUGAGUGAAGAAAAGGUUUUCGGAUCGUAAAACUCUGUUGUCAGAGAAGAACAAGUUGGAGAGUAACUGCUCCAGCCUUGACGGUAUCUGACCAGAAAGCCACGGCUAACUACGUGCCAGCCGCCGC